UACGUAGGGUGCGAGCGUUGUCCGGAAUUACUGGGCGUAAAGAGCUCGUAGGUGGUUUGUCGCGUUGUCCGUGAAAACUCACAACUCAAUUGUGGGCGUGCGGGCGAUACGGGCAGACUGGAGUACUGCAGGGGAGACUGGAAUUCCUGGUGUAGCGGUGAAAUGCGCAGAUAUCAGGAAGAACACCCGUGGCGAAGGCGGCUCUCUGGGACGGUACUGACGCUGAUGUGCGAAAGCGUGGGGAGCAAACAGG
rnacentral:rRNA from 1 species